UACAGAGGUCCCAAGCGUUGUUCGGAUUCACUGGGCGUAAAGGGUGCGUAGGUGGCGGGGUAAGUUUGAUGUGAAAUCUCCGGGCUUAACCCGGAAACUGCAUUGAAUACUAUUCUGCUGGAGGGUUGGAGGGGGGACUGGAAUUCUCGGUGUAGCAGUGAAACGCGUAGAUAUCGAGAGGAACACCAGUGGCGAAGGCGAGUCCCUGGACAACACCUGACACUGAGGCACGAAAGCUAGGGGAGCAAACAGG
rnacentral:rRNA from 1 species